rnacentral:rRNA from 1 species
UACAGAGGUCUCAAGCGUUGUUCGGAUUCAUUGGGCGUAAAGGGUGUGUAGGUGGCGCGCUAAGUCGGGUGUGAAAUUUCGGAGCUUAACUCCGAAACUGCAUUCGAUACUGGCGUGCUUGAGGACUGGAGAGGAGACUGGAAUUCAUGGUGUAGCGGUGAAAUGCGCAGAUAUCAGGAGGAACACCGGUGGCGAAGGCGGGACUCUGGGCCGAUACUGACGCUGAGGAGCGAAAGCGUGGGGAGCAAACAGG